rnacentral:rRNA from 1 species
CUAAUACAUGCAAGUCGAGCGAAUGGAUUAAGAGCUUGCUCUUAUGAAGUUAGCGGCGGACGGGUGAGUAACACGUGGGUAACCUGCCCAUAAGACUGGGAUAACUCCGGGAAACCGGGGCUAAUACCGGAUAACAUUUUGAACCGCAUGGUUCGAAAUUGAAAGGCGGCUUCGGCUGUCACUUAUGGAUGGACCCGCGUCGCAUUAGCUAGUUGGUGAGGUAACGGCUCACCAAGGCAACGAUGCGUAGCCGACCUGAGAGGGUGAUCGGCCACACUGGGACUGAGACACGGCCCAGACUCCUACGGGAGGCAGCAGUAGGGAAUCUUCCGCAAUGGACGAAAGUCUGACGGAGCAACGCCGCGUGAGUGAUGAAGGCUUUCGGGUCGUAAAACUCUGUUGUUAGGGAAGAACAAGUGCUAGUUGAAUAAGCUGGCACCUUGACGGUACCUAACCAGAAAGCCACGGCUAACUACGUGCCAGCAGCCGCGGUAAUACGUAGGUGGCAAGCGUUAUCCGGAAUUAUUGGGCGUAAAGCGCGCGCAGGUGGUUUCUUAAGUCUGAUGUGAAAGCCCACGGCUCAACCGUGGAGGGUCAUUGGAAACUGGGAGACUUGAGUGCAGAAGAGGAAAGUGGAAUUCCAUGUGUAGCGGUGAAAUGCGUAGAGAUAUGGAGGAACACCAGUGGCGAAGGCGACUUUCUGGUCUGUAACUGACACUGAGGCGCGAAAGCG